rnacentral:lncRNA from 1 species
ACUGGGUAUUAAAACCUAAUUUCUCUGUGGAUGUGACUGCACUCACCUAAAGAUAGCAAUGCUCAAAUUUGCCUGCCUUUCCCUUUAGCUACUCGGGGGGAGGGAUAGCAUUAGGAGAUAUACCUAAUGCUAAAUGACGAGUUAAUGGGUGCAGCACACUAGCAGGGCACAUGUAUACAUAUGUAACUAACCUGCACAUUGUGCACAUGUACCCUAAGACUUAAAGUAUAAUAAUAAUAAAAUUUAAAUUUUAAUUUUAAGUUCAAUAUCAGUCCUAGGCUUUAAGAGGGACAUUGUAAAAAUUAUCUUCAAGCUGACAUAUCACACUUUUUUAGGUCUUUGGUAACUACCACUUUACACUCUAUCUUGAGAUCCAUUAGAGUAUAGCAGACAAAUGAAUUUUUAAUAUUUAUUGUGGGUGUUUUAUUUAGGGUGUUUGAAUCACUAUGAGACUAAAAAAAAGAAUGUUGCAGAACUGUAUUUUUAGACAACAAAAGAUAUUCAUGAUGUAUUAAGUGAAUAAAUUAAUUAACCCAUAUGAUCAUAGGAACAGAAAGCAUAGUGUUUUGUAAAAUAUUUUGAAAAAAAUUUUUAAUUAAACUUGAAAAUUCCUUUUGCUCUGAUGUAAUGCUUAAAUAAAUUCAAGUAAAUUAACCAAUGUCCUAAGAAAGGCUUCAAAAGGUAUGUGAAAAUGUUCAUAUCUGUGAGCUUUCAUCUUUCAUAAUGAAAGCCAAAGGAAAAUUGGAAAGAGGUAGGGUUUUUCUCUUUCCUUUAGGAAAAAGAAGCCUUUAUUGCUGAUAG